GAGGUUUCUCACCUAUCUCGUUCAAACUGAUUUUUCCACCGUGGUCAAAUGAAACACGUUUAACUCCUCUGCUUUAUUGUUGACAGCUAUUUCCCUAACCCCUAGUUCGUCUUCUCUCUUAAAUCUACUACAUAAAACCUGCAAAAUUUUCACCAAAAUCUCUUGCAAAAUUGGAAUCCUCAAAAGACCAAUAAGGGAAGAACGAUAGUCGACGUUCGAAUGGCUGGGAUGGCCAUCAUCAAUGCCACUGUCAAUGGAGGCUGUGGUGGAAGUGCUGGCACAAUUAACGAGUCCAUCCAAUCCUCUGACCCUGAAACUCUCAAAACCCGCGAGAUUUGAGGUUCGCACUCGUGAAAUAUUUUCGUGUUUCAUAUUUCUCAUUUUUCAACUGUUAAUAGUGAGUUUCAACUUUCAUGGUGUUAAUAUUAAUUUAUAUGCUGGGUGGCCGUGGAAAUUCAGUAGCUCGACAAGGUUAGUUAUUUUCACCAUUCACUACGGUCUUGCGAGUUCUCAAUAUUCAAUUAUCAAUCGAUGCUUCAAUUUUUUGUUUGACGAAAAUACCCCCAAUACAAUUCAGAUAUUUUUAGAUUCACCAAUACCGUAGUUGCAUGCGCUUUUUAGUCAUUUCACUGAUCUAAUGACGGUCACAUUCUUCGACUACCAAAAAAUGGGCAUGUAACGUGAAGUUUACAAAAAACAGCGAGUUUAAUCAACAAAAAUAUUGAAACUAAUAAACGUAAAAAAUGAAAAAUGGAAAGAAAUCGCAGAAAAAUAGAAGAUGAACACAGGAUUUUUCGCCCUAAGGCAAGAGGUUUGGAACUUCGUUCCUAAUCCCUUUUUGAGCUUCCGUCAAACCGGAAGAAAUCGCUAUAUGAACGAAUCAAUGAAGCUGUCCAGAUUGUACAUCUCGUAGCACUCAAAAUAUCACUCAAGAUUAUUCAACAUAAGCCUCACUAAUUGAUACGGCCAGUUACUCAAGAAUAGAUGAAGAUAAUCUGUACAAAUCACUCAAGAUUAUACAAUUUUGGGGCACAUAUCGAAGGAAGCUUUCUUGGACAGAUUCUUUAGAUCAAAAGAAGGAGAAUCAUCUCUUGAGAGAGAUGAAGCUGCGAAAUGAGAGAGAGAGAGAGAGUGAAAAAUCCAGAUUCUAGCACCAUCCAGGAACCCUAAUGAGGGUUAAGUAGAAGACCCUAGAAGUCUUGCAAUCCAACGGUGAGUAAUACGACACUUGGCAAGAUCAUAACCAUUGCUUCAGUUGUAUAGAAAGCAUGUUUUAAUAACACGAUUUUUGCCAACAUUAAGUAAACCAUUUAUCUGUUGGACUAAUCGGCCCAGCAGCCUAGCCGAAGUAUUAAGUCAGCCCAACAUCAUUGUGCCACAUUUCUUCACAUUCUCCACCUUGGUACAAUGAUUCUAGUUUCAUCUAUAGUGAUUUAUCCAGUUUUUGAUAUCAUUUGCUCUUAUUCCCGAUACACAAAUUAGCAAGAGUUAAUAUUCAGCUAUUUUAAACAGUCCAAACACUUGUUUAAAGGCAGCACUUUGGUUCUAAUAUCAGCAGGAUUAAAUUGUGUAGAAAUCUUUUUAAGUUUAAUAACACCUUGAGAAAUUACAUCUCUAAUAAAAUGAAAUUUCACAACAACAUGUUUUGAUCUAUUACGAAGCACAGGAUUUCUACUCAAAUAUAUAGUAGAUUGGCUAUCGAAAUGCAAGACAACAUCAUUUAUGAAACCAAAUUCAUUUAAAAGUCAUUUUAGUCAAAUUCCUUCUUUAAUUGCAUCAGUAGCAGAUAUAUAUUCUGCUUCCGUUGAAGAUAAAGCAACAAUCUUUUGUAAUUUUGAUUUUCAGCUUAUACAGGAAUUACAUAAAGUGUACACAUAGGCAGAAGUUAAUUUUUUGUUGUCCCUAUCACCUGCAUAAUCAGAAUCUGUGUAACUCCUGGAGAUAACACUUUCAGAUUGCUUUUUAUACUCAAUUCCUAGGUCACAAGUUCCUUUUAUAUAUCUUAGAAGCCACUUCAUAGCUUUCCAAUGAACCUCACCAAGAUUGGACAUGUAUCUACUCAAUACAAUUAUUGCAAAUGCCAAAUCAGGCCUAGAACAAAUCAUUAGAUAUAUAACUAACCCCACAACAUUAGAAUAUGGCACUUUAGCCAUUCUUUUGAGCUUUUCUUCAGUUUUGGGAGAUUGUUCAUUAGAUAAUUUGAAGUAUUUUCAAAGCAUAACAUUUUUUAUUUAGACUUAUUAUGCCCUCUUCUAUUUCUUUAAUUUCGAUACCCAAAAUUUUUCUAACAAGAGCUAAGUCCUUCAUUUCAAAAUCAGAUUUUAGUUUGUCUUUAAUUAACUCUAUUUUCUUUAUGUCAUAACUAGCCAAAAUCAUGUUGUCCACAUAAAGUAGAAGAUAGAGUGAAUUCUCACCUCCGUUUCCUUUACAAUAAAGACAAGUAUUGAAAUUAUUUCUUUUAAAACCAAGUCCAAGUACAAAAGUGUCAAAUCUCUUAUACCAUUGUCUUGGAGUUUGUUUUAAACCAUAAAAUGACUUUUUAAGAAGGCAUACUAAGUCAGAAUUUUUAUUCAUUUCAAAACCUUUUGGUUGUUCCAUAAAAAUAGUUUCUUCAAGAUCUACAUUUAAAAACGUAGUUUUUACAUCUAAUUGAUCCAAUUCCCAAUCAAAUUGAGCUGCAAAGGCAAUUAUGACUCUUAACAGUUGUAAAUUUUACAACGAGGGAAAAUAUUUCAUUAAAGUCUAUCCCCUCCUUUUGAGCAAAACCCUUGGCCACAAGUCUUGCCUUAUAUCUAAUGUCCUUCUCAUCUUUUUCACCUAUUUUGAUCUUAUAGAUCCACUUGUAAUCUAUAACUCUCUUUCCCUUUAGGUUUCUUGACUAAGGUCCAAGUUUUAUUAUUUCUCAAAGAUUCCAUCUCAUCAUGCAUUGAUGCAAGCCAAUGCUUAGAGUCCUUACUACUCAUAGCAUCUUUAUAGGACUCGGGUUCAUUCUCAAUGAACUCCUAAACAGUAAGAAGGGACAUUUCAUCAUCAAACCUCACAGGUGGUCUUAUUUGUCUCCUUUCUCUAUCUUUGCAAGUUGAUAAUCAUUUAAGGGUUGAUUUACUUCAAAAUCAGAUUCAUUCAGAUAAGUUUCAUCGAUAUUUUGAACCUCAAUUUCACUAUUUCCAAACUGAUCAGGUUGUAGAUUAUCAUUAUUAACUUGCUCCACCUUAAUUUAAGUUUCCCUUCUUUCAUUUUCAGUUUGACCAAAUUCAGUUGUGUUAUUUUCAGAUUUCAAACAAGGUAUAUCAGAUUCAUUAAACACCACAUUUUUACUCAAAAUGAUCUUAUAGCCUUUGGUCUCUUUUACCGAAAGUCCAUACCCCUUCACCCUUUCACCAUAGCCCAAGAAAACAUACUUUAGGGCUCUAGGUUCAAGUUUUCCUUCAGAUUGGUGUGCAAAUAUUGCACAAACAAAUAUUUUUAGAUUUCUCAAAUCUACAGAUUUUUCUGUCCAAACUUCUUCGAGCGAUUUGAAUUGUAUAGCAUUAGCGAGGCUUCUAUUUAUGAGAUAACUAGCAGUUUUUGCAACUUCUCCCCAAAAUAACUUGGGAAGACCAGAACCUAGUAAGAUACAUCUAACUCUUUCAAGAAUAGUUCGGUUCAUUCUUUUAGCCAAGCCAUUUUGUUGUGGGGUGUGUGUCACUGUUCUGUGUUUUAGAAUACUAGACUCUUUACACAAUUCAUCAAAUUCAUAUUUGCAAAAUUCAAGCCCGUUAUCAAUCCUCAACACUUUAAUCUUUUUAUUUGUUUGAUUUUCAAUGAAGAUUUUCCAUUCUUUGAAAGCAUUAAAAAUGUCAGACUUAUGUUUAAGUAGAAAGAGCCAGUUUUUCCUAAAAAAUCAUCUACGAUUAAAAGGAAAAAUCUGAAACCAGUAUAGGUGAAACCAGUAUGUGUGGGCAUAGAAGCUGGUCCCCAAAUAUCAGCAUGCAAGUACUCAAUAAUAGACACAGAUUUAUGCAUCCCUGGCAAAAAUGGUAGUCUAUUUUGUUUUUCUAGUAUGCAAUGAUCACAAAAACUGAGUUUCUUAACUAUAUCUUUACCAAAGGUACCUUGUUUUUUAAAAAUUUGCAUUCCUUUGUCACUAAUAUGGCCCAAUCUUUUAUUUCAUAGUUGUGACUUAUCACUGGGGGCAAAAAUUGUUGCUGAUGUGGAGUCAAAAAAGUUUUGAGUGUGUAAAAUGUAAGGCCCAUGUCUCUUGGGGGCUUCAGCAACAAGUUGAGAGCCCCUCAAGAUUUUAAUGUAUUCCUUGUUAAUCACAAUAUUAUAGUUCAGGUCAUCUAAGACACCUAAGGAUAUGAGAUUUCUUUGUAGGUCAGGAACAUACCUGAUUUUUUUCUAAAGUCAAUUCAUUAUUAUCGUCAAACCUUAAGGUGAUUGUUCUUGUUCUUUUUACCUGACAAGACAUGUGAUUACCCAUUAACACUUGGCAUCCAUUUACAUUUUCAAACUCAAUAAAUCACUCUCUUUUAGGACAAAUGUGAAAGGUGCAACCAGAGUCAAGGAUUCACUUCUGACUAGGUUGUGCAGCAACAUAAACCUCAUCUAUGUUGUACUCAUUUUUAUAAGCCAAGGUAGCACCACCAUCAAUAUUAGACUUAUUUUUCAAAUCAUUAUGUCUCUUAUGGCAAUCUUUGAUAAAAUGACCUUCACCUAGACAGCAAAAAUAUUUUUUUACCCUUAGUCUUGUUUUUCAUUUUAUCUUUAAAGUUUACCUUCUUCUUCAGUCCAGGUUUUUUAUUAAAAUUGGCCAUCUUUGGAUUUGGAUUAGGUUUGGACUUAAUCAUCAAAUUUUCACCACUAACAGAUUCUCUCUUUUCAGAUUUUAACUCUAACUCUUUGCUUUUCAAUGCAUUUAUUAUCACGUCAGUAGUUAGAGUCUCCCCUCCAUAUUCAAUAGCAUUUUUAACAUCUCUAUAUUUAUCAUUUAUUGAAUUUAAAAAAAUCACAGCCAACUGAUCUUUUGAGUUUCUCAUCACAGUCGGCUAGGUCACGGGAUAAUCUGUUGAAUCUAUCAAUAUUUGCCUCAAGAUCAAGAGAUGGGUCCAAUUUGAAACCAAAAAAAUUGUUUUAGAAGAUACACUUUAUUAGGCAUGAUUUUAUUCAAAUAAGUAUCUUCUAAUUUCUUCCACAACUCAGCAACAGUUUUUGUCUCACCAAUCUCUUUUAACACACUGUUAGACAAAUGCAAGAAUAGAAAACUCCGUGCAAUUUCAUCAAGUUCAAUUUUCUCAGUUUCUUCCAUAUCAUCAGGCUAUGACUCAUCAAUGGCUUUUGCACAUUUUUAUCGAAAUAAAAGAGCUCGCAUUUUCUGGUGCUAGAGACUAAAAUCUCCUUUACCAUUAAAGAUUUUCAAUUCAACUUUAGUUGACAUAAUCAAAACACAAUUUGAUUUGACAGUGCAGGUAGAUCACAUAAAUUUUGAACAAUAUCUACAACAUUUGUUUAUUAUUAUGAGAAUUAAUCCUAGCAGUAUCUCAAAUGUCAUACACAAUAAUCAAUAUAAAGUGUACAACCAGCAAGUUGUAUGUCACAAAUUAUUCGGCAGCUACACUCAGCAGUUCAUUUAAUUUCCAAAUAAGCAGUUUACUAAAAAAACAGCAAAUUAUCAAUUCACAGUAAUAUAAUGACAGCAUCCUUUAUACAUUUUAUAUAGGAUACUUGCAAGAAUCAUAAAAAGAAUAUUAAACCAUUGACCUUUACUCAAGAUAGCCCUCAGAUUCCAAACAACUCACGGUUUCUGGACUAAAGCACUAUCAAGAAGUCUUCGAUUUAUUAAUUUUUACCACAAUUGCAAGGGUCACAGGAUAUAGUCAGGUAAGGUAUACUGUAACUUGAAGAUAAAUGAAACGAACUCACCAAAAAACCCUUAUUAGGGUUUCAAGAAGCAACCGAAAUUUACUGAACCAGUUCGAGGACUCUUCGAAUCUGCCGACACUAGUACCAAGAACCCCCGUCACGAGCUCUGAUACCAUUGUAACACGAAGUUCACAAAAAAACAGCGAGUUUAAUCAACAAAAAUACUGAAACUAAUAAACAUAAAAAAUGAAAAAUGGAAAGAAAUCGCAGAAAAAUAAAAGAUGAACACAAGAUUUUUCGCCCUAAGUCCAGAGGUUCGAAACAUCGUUCCUGAUCCCCUUUUGAGCUUCCGUCAAAUAGGAAGAAAACACUAUAUCAACGAAUCAAUGAAGCUAUCCAGAUUGUACAUCUCAUAGCACUCAGAAUAUCACUCAAGAUUAUUCAACAUAAAUCUCACUAAUCGAUACAGCCAUUCACUCAUGAAUAAAUGAAGAUAAUCUAUACAAAUCACUCAAGAUUAUACAAUUUUGGGGCUCAUAUCGAAGGAAGCUUUCUUGGACAGAUUCUUUAGAUCGAAAGAAGGAGAAUCGUCUCUUGAGAGAGAUGAAGCGACGGAAUGAGAGAGUGAAAAAUUUAGAUUCUAGCACAAUCUAGGAACCUUAAUGAGGGUUAAGUAGAAGACCUUGGAAGUCUUGCAAUCCAACGAUGAGUAAUAUGACACUUGGCAAGAUCAUAACCAUUGCUUCAAUUGUAUAGAAAGCGUGUUUUAGUAACACAAUUUUUGCCAACGUUAAGUAAACCAUUUAUCUUUUGGACUAACCAGCCCAGCAGAAGUAUUAAGUCAGCCCAACAUCAUUGUGCCACAUUUCUUCAUGGGGUAACUUUUUUCAAUGUAAAUUUUCAAAGUUAGAGGAACACAAGAAGAUUGAUUAUAGAAUGACUUCUCACUUUUCUUGUUACCCCCUUUGUCGAAUCCAUUAUUGUUAAGAUUGAAAUUACAAAAACACCCCUUAUCCUAAAGGUAAUUUGUCCAUCCAAUUAUCGAUUUUUUUUUUUAUUUGGGCGCAUAAACAGAAGCUGUCGUUUAAAGAAUAUUUGUGUCAAAUGUUUUGGAGUCAGUAGAGGGGUAUUUUGGUUGAUUCAUGAUUGUUGAUGCUCCUUUGUAAUCGGCGGCAUGUUUUCGUGGCAAUUUGGAGAAGUUUAUUUAGUGGUUGAGUGCUUAGUUUUUUUCCAAUUAUGGGGACACAAAGUAUGAUAGGUUGCAUUGUGAUUCUGUACAUAAUUAGCCAACUUCAAGUUUGUUAAGAAUAAUGUUUAUUCCUUCGUUCUUAGGAUUAAAUUUAUCUUUUAAUGCAGUGAAAUUUGAAGAAUACCAGCUUUAUCUUUUCUUUUUGGGUAAAAGGACUCAAUGUGAUGUUAUUUGCUGUGAUAUAUAUGCUUGAAAGAGUGUUAUGAGAGAUCUUUUUCUAUGAAUUUGGGUCUCUUUUAACUUGUGAGUCCCAGUAGAUUUGGUUAUAUGUUAUUAGUGUAGUUUAUUUUAAAUUUUGAAGUAGUUUAAACCUUUUGUUGUUUAUAGCUUUAUAUUAUAUUUGAGGCAUUGAGGUUUUAAAUUUUACUCUUUGUGGUCCAUUGAAUAAAUAUGACAGAAUAAAUUAUUGCAUCUUGCUUAUUUGAGUUUUGAUUAAAUAAGUUCAAUGCCAUGGGGGCGUUGAAACUGUAGUGUAAUACCAAAUGCCAAAAUAUAUGACAAGUCCGUGUAGUAUGCGUGCAUUCAAGUUUAUGUUUAUUAAAGAAAAUAACCUUGGAUAAAACAUUUUGUGAUGAGAGAAAGAUGGAUGAUAUCCUCUUGAUGCUAAUGUAAAUGUUAAUGCUUCAUACUUGGAUGAGAUGGUAUGAUAUUUGAUCCAUUUUGUUUACAAGUUGGUGUGUACGUUUUGUUGUAGUUCUUCUAUUUUUUUUUCAUGGCGCAGUUGGGCCAUCCCGUAUAUGAUAGAGACCAACAAAUGGAACCAGCUUAAUAUUAUUGAACUUGGAGGAAGACUUACCUUAGCACAGGUAGAAGCAUGUUUAUAUGAUGAUGGGAAUUUGAUCUUAUGGGAAUCAAAUGAUAUUGUAUUUGCAUUUAAAUUUGAAAAAUUUCCAGGAUAUGGAGUAUUUUUUUAGUUGAAUAUUAAUUGUUAUACCAACGUGUGCACAUGAAUAAGUAGGAGAAUUAAUGGUAAACAUUUUUUUGUGUGCGAUGGUUGCUUAAUAUUAUUGGGCUUUCUUGUCGGCUUUGGCCACACUUUCAGUUUUACAAAUUUUAAGCAGAUAAAUUUGUCCACAUUCAUUUAAUAUUCCUUAAAAAACAUUCUAUUAAAAUAUCGUCUUUCUUGUGUGAUGGUGUAGAAGCCAAAUUAUUGUUCCUAGAUUCUCCAAUUGGCGUUGGAUUUUCAUACUCAAGCAUGAGUGGUGAUUAUGAUAUUCUCGGAGAUGACUUUGCCGGUAUGUCAAACUUUAUGUUAACUCUUAAAUACACCGACACCCCCAAUCAUAAUUUGUCAAUCUAACAUAAAAGUUCAUGAAAAUUGUGCACAUAUUAGGCUUUUCAUAAGAAAUGAGCUGUCCUGUGGGACAUGUUGAAAACUAAAUUUAGAUAAAUAAAUGUACUCUCUCUCUAGCUGUUUAAACUUUUAGAUAUUCAUUUUGUAGCCAAUGAUUCCUAUGUUUUCCUACGCAAGAGGUUCCUUAAGUUUCCAUCAUACACGAUGAGGAAAUUUUAUAUUGCUAAGGAGAAUUAUAAAGGUACAUUGUGUUGUUGUUAGUUUUCUGAUUGGUGUCAAUUACUAGAAUAUUCAUGCUCAUAUAUGUACGCUGGAUGCUUUUCGACAGGCGGAUAUGUUCCUUAGCUGGCUGAACUCAUUCAUUAUGAGAACAAAGAUCCCUCUUUAUUGAUAGAUCUUAAAGGCAUUAUGGUGUAAUUCGGUUCCCAUUUAAUUCAAGGACUGAGUUUCAAGAUUAGUGCCAGGACCCUAAGAUUUUAAAUGGAGCAAAUGAUCACAGACAGACGUUCAAUGCUAACCGAUAAUUUUAUUGCAGCUGGGCAAUUGCAAAACAUGUGACAUAGAGGUACUUGACACUUAUCAGGGACAGAGUGUGCUUCUUGAUGAGGGGUAGUAUGUUUGAUUGGAUUUAUGGUGACAAUUCAUUGGCUAAUGAUGCAUAAUAUUAUAACUGGUGCUUUCUUUGUUCUUGGUCUUAUUUUCACAUUCAUUACACGUUCAUUUUGUAGAUGUUAAAUUGAUUGCUAUCUUCUUUAGGCAAUGUUUAAAUAAUUAAUAUAUGCUUAUGUCUAUACAGAUUCUUGGUUGACU
rnacentral:lncRNA from 1 species